CGGGGAUUGCGGCUGCGCCGGCGUGGGGGUGGGCGGAAACGGAAGCGGCGUCCCCUCGGGGUCAGGCAGCAGGGCAGGCUGCCUCCCGGGGCAUGCCGGGAGCUGUAGUUUUCGCCGACUCGGCGGCCGGGCAGCUCCGUGGCUCUCGGGCGCGGCGUAGUCCUCGCUGCCGCCGCGGCCCCCGGAGUCCGACCAGAGGCCACGCUGUGGGUGCGGUUGUCCGUUCGUCCCCUGGGGAUGCCGUUGACUGCAGCAGCCUCAGGCUUGCGUGGGCUGUCUCUGCCUGGCCUCCCUCUCCUUGCGGUGCGGGAGCACAGAGGGACAGGCGGAGCGCUUACUGGCUGUGGACAGGAGCUGCUGAACCUGACGUUGAAGCUGGAGAGGCCACAGAAUGGUAAAGCUGCUGAAGAAUAAAAUAAAGAGGAUCCAGCCACCAGCUGCAGACAGGAGAUAGCCUGCCUCUCCAGGUGGAUGACAGUCAAGUGAGUGCAGCUACAGAGGAGGAAGGGAGAGGGAGAGAGAGACAGACAUGUCUGAACUGUCAAAUUCUCCCAGCAGCUCCAACAGCGGGAGCCUGCAGUGAAGACCAUGGUGACACAGGCUGUCCCCCUGCAGCCCACGGAGGUCCAUGGCGGAGCAGAUAUGCACCCUGCAGCCGAUGGAGGACCCCUCGCCAGAGCAGGCGGAUUCACCCGAAGGAGGCUGUGACGCUGUGGAGAGGAG